rnacentral:rRNA from 1 species
GACCGGCCACAUUGGGACUGAGAUACGGCCCAGACUCCUACGGGAGGCAGCAGUGGGGAAUAUUGCACAAUGGGCGGAAGCCUGAUGCAGCAACGCCGCGUGCGGGAUGACGGCCUUCGGGUUGUAAACCGCUUUCGCCUGUGACGAAGCGUGAGUGACGGUAAUGGGUAAAGAAGCACCGGCUAACUACGUGCCAGCAGCCGCGGUGAUACGUAGGGUGCGAGCGUUGUCCGGAUUUAUUGGGCGUAAAGGGCUCGUAGGUGGUUGAUCGCGUCGGAAGUGUAAUCUUGGGGCUUAACCCUGAGCGUGCUUUCGAUACGGGUUGACUUGAGGAAGGUAGGGGAGAAUGGAAUUCCUGGUGGAGCGGUGGAAUGCGCAGAUAUCAGGAGGAACACCAGUGGCGAAGGCGGUUCUCUGGGCCUUUCCUGACGCUGAGGAGCGAAAGCGUGGGGAGCGAACAGGCUUAGAUACCCUGGUAGUCCACGCUGUAAACGGUGGGUACUAGGUGUGGGGUCCAUUCCACGGGUUCCGUGCCGUAGCUAACGCUUUAAGUACCCCGCCUGGGGAGUACGGCCGCAAGGCUAAAACUCAAAGGAAUUGACGGGGCCCCGCACAAGCGGCGGAGCAUGCGGAUUAAUUCGAUGCAACGCGUAGAACCUUACCUGGGUUUGACAUGGAUCGGGAGUGCUCAGAGAUGGGUGUGCCUCUUUUGGGGUCGGUUCACAGGUGGUGCAUGGCUGUCGUCAGCUCGUGUCGUGAGAUGUUGGGUUAAGUCCCGCAACGAGCGCAACCC